UGAACGCUGGCGGAAUGCUUUACACAUGCAAGUCGAACGGCAGCACGGACUUCGGUCUGGAGUGGCGUCGGAGGGAACGGGGUCGGAAGUUAAACGUGUAUCGGAACGUGCCCAGUCGUGGGGGAUAACGUAGUGAAAAAUUACGCUAAUACCGCAUACGAUCUAUGGAUGAAAGCGGGGGAUCGCAAGACCUCGCGCGAUUGGAGCGGCCGAUAUCAGAUUAGGUAGUUGGGGGGGUAAAGGCCCACCAAGCCAACGAUCUGUAGCUGGUCUGAGAGGACGACCAGCCACACUGGAACUGAGACACGGUCCAGACUCCUACGGGAGGCAGCAGUGGGGAAUUUUGGACAAUGGGCGAAAGCCUGAUCCAGCCAUUCCGCGUGCAGGAUGAAGGCCCUCGGGUUGUAAACUGCUUUUGACAGAACGAAAAGGUUUCUACUAAUACUAGGAGCUCAUGACGGUACUGUAAGAAUAAGCACCGGCUAACUACGCGCCAGCAG
rnacentral:rRNA from 1 species